AUACGUAUGGUGCAAGCGUUAUCCGGAUUUACUGGGUGUAAAGGGAGCGCAGGCGGUACGGCAAGUCUGAUGUGAAAGCCCGGGGCUCAACCCCGGUACUGCAUUGGAAACUGUCGGACUAGAGUGUCGGAGGGGUAAGUGGAGUUCCUAGUGUAGCGGUGAAAUGCGUAGAUAUUAGGAGGAACACCAGUGGCGAAGGCGACUUACUGGACGAUAACUGACGCUGAGGCUCGAAAGCGUGGGGAGCAAACAGGAUUAGAUACCCUGGUAGUCCACGCUGUAAACGAUGAAUACUAGCUGUUGGGGAGCAUUGCUCUUCAGUGGCGCAGCAAACGCAAUAAGUAUUCCACCUGGAGAGUACGUUCGCAAGAAUGAA
rnacentral:rRNA from 1 species